UAAUAAUCAUGGGUUAUUAAUUACUUCUGCAAGCUCCCAUAGAAACUUAAAUCCUCAGUGUGACACAACUCAGUCCUUCUACUGCAGCAGCUCUUUUAUAAAUGCCUCCCAAAGCUCCAAGAAGGAACAAAGAAUGUGACCCAGUAAGAUCACACCAUGAGUCUAUAUUGCAGAAACCUUUGUUCAACAAAACUGCAGAUGCUCUGUUGAAUCCACUGGAGAUUGUUCUGAUACUAAGGACAAGUAUGUAAGUUAAUGAUUUUAUUUAUUUUAACAUUUUAAAAUGUUUUCCUUUGGGGAAUUCUAAUUUAUAUAUCAAUAUUCAGGUAAUAUUUGCUGAAAACACAAACAGAGUCAAAAUGAUCUGCAUUCACAUUCUCAUUUUCUAUUAUAACAUAGAGACAACUACUUUAUUAUCUUUUUAGAAACUUUUGCAACUACUUUAGUUUCUUCCUAAUUUUAUAAAUUAAUCUAUCUCAAAAAACUUUGCCCAAAAGACUUAGUAAUAGCUGUCAACUUCAGAAAAACUAAAACUUUAAAGAUAACUUUUAGAAGGAAAAUGAAAUACAGAAAUAAUGUAUCUUAUUUACACUUAAUUAAAAAUAAUAUGAAUUGUCACUAUUUCCUAUGAAAACAUCUCAUGCCAAAUUUCUUUUAUUAAGCUAGGAUUUAAAAGAUAAUUUAGUUGAAACUGGUAGAAUCUUAGUAAAAUUAUAACAAUAAGAAAUUUUUAUAUUAUAUAUAAUAUAGAAUAAUCACAUUUAAUUCCACUUGUUAGUCUAUUCUGAUUCUUUAGCAAGUUGAUUCAUAAUUUGCCAACUUGGGUCAGAAAUAUUUUCUAUUCUUAGCUUUUGCUGUCAGCAGAGAUAAUAAUAAUAUAGAACCUGAACAACAAAGGAUUGUGUAUUGUUUCAAUUUAAUUAAAGUUGAUUCCCUGCUUUAAGAGAGACUCACAUUUUAUAUAUUUUUUUAUUAAAAAGAGAAUGUAGAUAUUUGCUUUUCCAAAUUUCCCAUAAGAUAAAGAAAACAUAUUUUUUCUUAAUUACACCCUUGCUAAGUCACGCUAGCUGCCUGACCUUGGACAAAAUUCUUAACCUCUUUGUGUCUCAUUUUCAAUAACUGUGAAUUAAAGAUGAUUAUUGUAGUAUAUUUCUCAAGGGAUUGUUGUGGGAAUUAAAUAAAAUAAUCCUCUAAAAUGCUUAGUACAGAUUCUGGAACAUAAUAAGCAGAAAAAAUUAAUAACUUAUUAUUUUUAUUUACUAUAUUAUAUGACAUACUUUUUCUUUAUGAUCUUCAGGGGAAUUUCUACUCAUCUUAAAAACAUAUAUAGAUAUUGAUCUGCGGAGAAAUAUAUCUCUGUUAUUUCAAGGUCUGUGGAUUACAUAAUGGUCAACUCUGAUUGAUUUACUGAUUGAUUCAAAAAAUUUUAAAGCAAAACUAAAAAUAUUGCAGCUAUGUUGGUUUUAACCAUUCUAAACUCUGAUGAAAUUUGCUUUCUGUUUGGUUUGUGACUAGGAAGCUAAACAUUAUUUAUUAGUAAUGAAAAUUUCUGGUGUCUAAAAAAAUUCAAGAGGAAAACCAUUAGAUUCUAUUACAAUUAAAUCUGUUAAGAUUUAAUUGCAAAUAUGUAGAUAGUGCAAAUAUGUCUUAGGGUACAAUUUUUGUUCUCAUUAAGUUACCCAUUUUACAUUUUGAGAACACUAACAGAUGAAAUACUUGUCAAAGAGAAGAUCUAAGAUGGUUUAAAGAAAAUAUUAAAUGAAAUCAAACUUACUUGUCAAGCUCCAUAGCACAACUUACAAGUCAUAAAUCGCACUCUGUAUGACAGCUACGGGAGGGAUCUGGGUAGUAAAACAAAAUGAUGGAUUUUAUCUUUCCUGUUUUUGAGUUAUUAAGAACUAGUUGAACUAUAGAAUGACGUGAAAGACUCACAUCAGGGAUGGGAGGUUAUUUGCAGAAACUCUUAUUUUCUUUAUCACAUUAAUGUCAAUAUUUGACAUUUCCAUACGACUAAUUAUUGAACUAAUUUUUGAUUUCUUAUGCCAACUGUUAAUAAUCCUCUUUUCAUCCAGAAAACAAUCACUUUUUGUCUAUCUGUAAAUUGACAUUUGUUAUGUUAAUUUGUUUUUGCUUAUUACAAGGAUUAUCUUUUAUUUACAACAAAGCAUUCACAGAUUGCCGUGACAGAUUUGUCUUCAAUCAAAUCUCAUAAACAUUAAUUGAAUUAUUGAAAGGAAUUUGUAAAUUAUUGUGUUUUUUCUAAAAUAGUAACAUCAGCGUGUAUAUUACGUUAAUUUUGUUUACAGUUUUUUGCUUCACAUUAACUAUAUUUAACUGAUUUUAACAGCCUUAGAUAACUCCAAAACAUCAAUUACUUUACUUGGAUUUAUUAAUUCAUUCAAAAAAUAUAUAUAUAAUGAGAAUCUAUUAUUUGCCAGGCACUGGGCUAGGCAAAGGUAAGAGUGAAUGGCAAAAUCAUGUUCUCCCUGUUUUCCUGUAAUAUAUUGUCUGGCUAAAGGCUGUGAAGGAAGAGUAAUGUGAAGGAAGAGUAUUCGAAGGAUAUAAGAAAAGGGAUCACACAAUUAACUGUAUGUAGGCUGUUCUUAGGGAAGAUUUCUUCUAGAGGUGGUACUUGGCCUUCAGUCAGAAGCAUGAUUUGAUAUUUGAUGUUAACCAGGUAAUUGAGGGGAUAAGGUGCUUUCUCAGCAGAAAAGACAUAGUAGGCAAAGUCUUUAAGUUAAAAGCAUAGUGAAAGCUCAAAACUAAAAGGAGGCUUGGGUGUCUGGACUCCAGAGACAGGAAGAGAGUUUAUAGAGUCUAGCAGAGAUAGCAGAGAAGACUUUAUCUUUUUUUUUUCUUUUUUUUUUUUUCUGUAGCAAACAUCUUUCCUGUGAAAAAUUCCCUCUCCUAGUACUUUAGUUCUGUGGAUCCAAAAUUUAUAGCAUUCUUCUACCACCACAGGGGCUCAUAUGACAUUAACAGACAAGACACUUUUCAGAAAGACAGGUUGUUCUUUUGGGCCACAUCUAAGAAAUCUUUGUCUAGCCAAAAGCCACAAAUAAUUUCUCAUUUUUUGGCUUCUGGAAGAUGUACAGUUAAAUGUUAUAUUUGGGACUGUUAUCUAAUUUGGUUAAAUUGCACUCUACAAUAUGGUAUUUGAAUUGAUGAAAAAUUAGUAAAUGUUAAUAUUUUUUAAAGUAGCCAAAUCUUGCAAUUUAUAUAUAAUAGAGAAGACUAGAAAAUCCCCCAUAUUUAUUUCCUCUUACUUCGUACUACUAAAAUUUGUAUUUAGGCAUUUGGUUUCUCAGAUAAACAUUACAUUCCCCAGUAUAUGGUUCUAUCUGGCUUGGUGACGACAUGUUGAACAUUAAGAUGUGAGCAGAAGUAAUACAUACACACUCUUUUUCAUGUCUUUAAUUGAAUGGGAUAUUGGCCCAUUUUUUCUUCCAGUUUAUUACACUGAAUAUUGACAUGUUAUUUUCCAAUAUUGAGACAAUCAAUGACAAGACUUUAAGAGUAACAAUGUAAAAAUACAGAAGUUGUCUGAGUUUAUCAACAAUCCCCUGGAUUAGAACCCCCUACCAGUUCUAGGUCAUCUAAUAUAUAGACAUUGUGUUCAGUAGAAAUAAAUAUAUAUAUUUUUUAUUAUGCUUUAAGUUCUAGGAUACAUGUGCACAACAUGCAGUUUUGUUACAUUGGUAUACACGUGCCAUGUUGGUUUGCUGCACCCAUUAACUCAUCAUUUACAUUAGGUAUUUCUCCUAAUGCUAUCCCUCCCCCUGCCCCCACCCCCGACAGGCCCUGGGGUGUGAUUUUCCCCACCCUGUGUCCAAGUGUUCUCAUUGCUCAAUUCCCACCUAUGGGAAUACAUUUUUAAAUCAUUUUUAAAGGUGUUAUUACAUUCUGAUUGAACAUUUUCAGAAAGAAUAAAUAAUUUAAUACAAGAAGUGGGCCACUUCAUGUAACAAAACAAACCACCACUACAGCAACAACAACAAAAAACACUAAUGAAUGUGACUUUAGCUUUGCAACAUCGUGACAGACUAGCAAGUUAAUGACAUUUGUUAUGCCAUAGAAAAUAUUUGUUGAAUUGCCACUCUAAUGACUUUAUAUCAGCCAACUCAUUAUCAACACUAGAAAAGAUGAUUAAAAAAUACUUCAGUACGUUCACGUGUUGGCUUGUUAACAUUUUUAAGAGUCUAUAAGAGAAAAAUGCAUCCAAUCUUGACAAAAAUAUUUUUCAAGUAUCUUGUAGGUACGUACAACUAACUACCUUGUGAACAAAAGUCACUAUAUAAUUAUAUAAUUUCUGACACUUAAAAAAGUUUAUUGUGCUAAAGAAGAUAUAUGUUCUAAUACCAAAUCCACAUAUAAAAUAAUUGACUUAAAUAAUUUAAGAUGCUCUUUUAUAUAUUUAUAUUAAAAACUUUACAGAGAAUAAAAAAAGCAUUAUACAGGCUACUUAUGGUUUUUGAUGUUUGGAUCUACAAUACAUGUAUCAAAGAUUGUGGAAAUAAAUCAAACAAUAUAUUCAAUUGGACUUAAUUGCAUUAUUACAUGCCAAGUGUCGUAUACCAUCUAUUUGCACAUAACACUUUUUAAUUUAGGUAAAAUUAUUAUCAUAAAGCUACAUGAAUUUAUUUUAUUCCAUGUUAUUAUUUAUGUAUUGUUAGGAACAUUUGCUUAAAAAUCAUAUUUGGACAUAGUUAGUAUCAGAUACUUUACAUCCUUUGAAUCAGUUAUUUUAUAACAGUAUAUACUAAACAUCAUUACUCCUUUUCAAACAUAAAUAACGCAAUACAAAUUGGACAAAAAAUUCAGGAAAGAUCUGGGAUCAAAAAGGAGGUAUUGAAACAUCACAUGUACUCCAUAAUUAUAUACAAAUAUUUUGUACCCAUAAUAUUUAAAAUACAGAAAAUUAAAAGGUGCAUUUUCCUCAAAGUGCAUGCUUCUUUUGCUAUGCAAAACUGCAAGAUAUGGAAAGAAGUGUAUUAAAACACUAAAUCACUUUAUGUGGAAGAUAAAAGGGAUGGUACCCAAUGUAAGACUUCAUGUAGUGCACUGAUACAUUCAAUACAAAUGAUGUAUUAACUUCAAGAUAACAUGAGAAAGUUAAAUUAUCUAACUUAUUUCAAACUAGGGGAUAGUAUGUUCUCAUUAUUAGAAGCCAGAAUUCUGCUUAUCCAUUUCUAUUAUUAGAAAAAAACAUAAUUUUUAUUCUUGUCUUAAAAAUAGACACCAUGAUAUCAUUCUCUGUAAAUGCAGCAUGAUAGUCUGUUUACAGAGUUUAUAUCAUUCCAAGACUGCACUUCUAAAGUGAGAAAAUAUUAAAGGAUAUAAACUCACUCCUCUCUACAAAAUUCCUUAUUUUUUAUGCAAUGGCUUUAAAAUGUAUGGAAGGGGAGUUAUGGAAACAAUCCAUACCUGGAAAGCAUUCUAUCCAUGCCUUUGAAAUGGUUAUCUAGUACUAGAUUCUUAUCAGUGCCUAGCUAUGUAAUGUGUGUAGCUUAAGAUUUUUAAGAAAGAAGGAUAAAAUGCUCAAUAUAAAUUUAAAAAGCACUUUUAUUGGAAUAUUGAAUCAUAUAUUUGCUUUCUGUAAGUCCUUUUAUCUAUAAAAUAAUAGUUGAGAAAGGCAAAUAGAAUAUGUGGAGGAAUUAAAAAUUCAGUUGUAGGGUGGUAAAUGAAAACCAAAUUUUUCAUUCACCACAUUAAAUGUAAAUGGGUAUUAUACUCAAUUUAAGCAGCAAAGUUGCUUUUUUUUUUUUUUUUUUUUUUGAGACAGAGACUCACACUGUCGCCCGGGCUGGAGUACAAUGUUGCCAUCUCGCUUCACUGCAACCCCUGCCUGCUGGGUUCAAGCCAUUCUCCUGCCGCAGCCUCCCGUGUAGCUUCUUAAGAUGUGAAGAUUUUUAAAUUAAGAUGACUCUUGGGAUGAACCAUCUUGUGUUGGUUAAAGACUUUUACUGACAUAUUUUUAAUAAUUUUUUUAACUUUUAUUUUCAGGUCAAUGGCACAUGCGUAGGUUUGUUAUGUAGGUAAACUAGUGUCACAGGGAUUUGUUGUGCAGAUUAUUUCACCACCCAGCUAUUAAGCCUAGUACCCAUUAAUUGUUUUUCCUGAUCUUCUGCUUCCUCCCACCAUCCACCCUCCCAGAGGCCCCAGUGUCUGUUGUUUCCCUCUAUGUGUUCAUGUGUUCUCAUAAUUUAGCUCCCAUUUGUAAAUGAGAACAUGCAGUAUUUGGUUUUCUGUUCCUGCAUUAGUUUGUUAAGGAUAAAGACCUCCAUCCAGCUCCAUCCAUGUUCCUGCAAAGGACUUGAUCUCACUCUCUUUUAUGGCUGCCUAACAUUCCAUGGUGUAUAUGAACCACAAAAUAAAGAUGGUUCUUAACUUUUAAAUUAAGAUUUUUAAAUUAAGAUGAAUCUUGAUUUUUAAAUUAGUAUGGUUUUAAGAUAGUUUUACAGAUAGAUUAGAUAAUCUAUCUAGAGAUAGACAGGGAGAGAUAUCUAUCAAUACAUAUCUCUAUCUAGAUAUAGAUAGAUGGUUUUCUAUAUAGACCUAUCUAUCUAUAUAUGUAUACAUCUAUAUAUGUCUACACAUAUCUCUAUACACAUAUAUAUAUUUAUAUCUACAUCUAUAUUUCUACAUGUAUAUAGGUAUGUAUAUAUCUACAUGUAUAUAUGUAUAUAGAUAGAUAUAUACAUAGGUAUCUGUAUAUAUGCAUAUACAUGCCUAUCUUUAUCUACAUGUAUAUAGAUAUCAUAUACACACAUAGAUAUAUAUAUAUAUCGGCAUGUAGAUAUUUAUGUAGAUAUACAUAUAUAGAUAUCUGCAUAUAUACAUUUGUAUAUAUAGACAUAGAUAUAAAUAUUAAUAUAUCUAUAUAUGUAUAUAAAUACAUAUACAUAUCUGUAUCUGUAGAAGAUAUCUACUAUCUUCUAUCUAUAUAUCUAUCUAUAGAACCAUCUUAAUUUAAAAACCUUUCAUAUAUGCAUAUAAAAGGUAAUCAAACACAAGCCAAAUGAAAAUUUGUUUAGCUAUGUUAAUAUCAGACAAAAGAGAUUUUAAGGCAGAAAUUAUUACUUGAAAGGAAGAUGUAUCCAUCAUCCAUAUAAAAGAAUCAACUAUUGAGGAAGUUGUCAAACUUGUGUAUGUAUAUUCACUCACACACAGUUAACACACAUUUACAAUUUUUAUAGAACUAAAAGGAGCAAUAGCCGCGUCUUCAAUCAUAAAGACUUUAAUAUACCUUUUUCAAUAACUGAUAGCAAAAAGGAUACAAAAUAUCAAUAAUAAUAGAAAAAUUUAAAGCAGUAGGAUUAAAUACUUUGAUAUAAAAACUGCACCCAAAAAUAGCAAAACACACAAUUUAUUAUAAUGUAUUUGGAACGUGUUUCAAAAUUUACCAUAGCUAUCUAUAGAUAUCUCUGUCUAUCUAGGUAGAUAGAUAAUAGAUAGGUAGGUAGGUAGAUAGAUAGAUAGAUAGAUAGAUAGAUAGAUAGAUAGAUAGAUAGGUUAGAUAGACAGAUAUAGGCUGAGGUUAGGCCCAAAACAAGAAUCAAUAAAUACCAAAAAUUUGAAAUCCUUGACAGUGUUUUUUGUACAACAAUGUUAUUAAGCUGCAAAUCUAUAGCAAGACUUUGAAAGUGACCAAAUGUUUAGAAAUUAAGCAUCACAUUUCUAAGUUAUUCAUGGAUCGAAAAAGUAAUUACAGUGAAUAUUAAAAUAUAUUUUGAAUUUAAUAAAAACGAAAGUAAAAAUACUGCUUGUUAAAAGAUGGGAGGCUUAGGCAAACCUCAGCUUGGAGAUAAAUGCAUAUGCUUACAUAAAUAUGUUUAAAAAAUUAAAGCUUGAAAAUUAAUAAUCUAAUUGUCAAUUUCAAAAAUUUAAAAUGUGAUGUCAAAUUAAAUCCAAAGAAUUAGAAAAGAGAAGAUACAUAAGAAGCAUGAGAAAAGGAAACAAUCAUAAAAUAAAUGAAAUCAGCAAAAGCCAAAGUUACUUUGAAAAGACUGAUAAAAAUAUACCAUGAUUAUGCAUGAAAUUUAAAAAAAAGAGUAUCCACAAAUUCUAAAUAUCAUGAAUAAUAACAAGGAAAUCAUUAUAGAUUCUAUAGUCAUGGGAGAGAAAAAGAGAAUGUAAUAAGUAACUUUAAGUCAAAAAUUUUGAAAUAAUUUGAUGAAAUAGAUACAUUUCUAGAAAAUCAUUAAUAGUGACACAAGAAUAAAUAGCAAAUCCUAAUAGCUCUAUAUCUAUUAAAAAUAAAAUUACAAUUAAAGCUUUCCAAAUGUAGUGAGUCUAAAUCAAAUAAAAUAUUAAAAAUCUGAAAUGUUUCCAGGAAGAAACAUUGAAUUCCUAAUAUAAAAUGUAACAUAUCAUAUGCAAUCCCUUUACUGAAAAUUGUGAAAUUUUACUGAGAGAAAUUAAAGAUAUUCAACAGAAAUAAAGGUGUACUGUGAGUCCUAUGUCAUUCCUGGUAUUAGAAGAAAGAUUCAGUAUUUUAAAUAAAUCUAUAUUUGUAAUACACUGAAAAUCACAAUACUGUGAUUAGUAAUAGCAUAAUUUGUCUGCAUUAUAUUUGGUGGCAACUGAAAAACUGACUAUAAAAUGCAAAUAAAAAUGCAGUGUAUAGAUAACUUUGAAGAAAAAAUAUAAUGUGAAGACUUACACUAUUAGAUAUAAAGUUUUUAUAAAUGUAUAUUAAUUAUGACAUUAUGGAAAAGGUGCAAGUAUAGAUAUUUCAAUGAAACAGAAUAGAGAGCUCGUAAAGAGAACCACACAAUAUAUUUAGCUGAUUUGUGAAAAAAAUAGUGCUUCAGUACAAUGAGGAAAAGAUUCAUUUUCAAUAAAUUGUGCUGUCUUUCAUACAUCGGUACAGAUAAAAAUGAAUAUUAACAUCCAACCUCACAACAUACACAAAAAUUAUUUCAUAUAGAAGCCAAUGUGUAACAUAAAACAGUACAGUUUUUAAAAAGUAAUACAGAGGACACUUCUAUGACCUUAAGAUUUUAAAAAAGACUCAAAAAGUAACGAUUGAAGGCUAAUAAAUAAGAUAAAUAAGUUAAUAAAUAGUAAUAAAAUAACAUAAAAAAUAAGGAUUUGUAAUCAUAAAAUAACUCACUGAGAGUGAAAAGGCAAGCAACAGAAUGGGAAAUGAAAUUUGCAAACAUAAAUACAAUAAGAACUCUUGAUCAAAAGAUACUUUUUAAACUCUACAAAUGAAUUUUUUGAAAAAAAAAAUAUGGCCAGGUACAGUGGCUCACGCCAUUAAUCCCAGCACUUUGGGAGGAACACUUGAGCCCGAGAAUUU
rnacentral:lncRNA from 1 species